CUUCCAUUUCCUUACGAAUGGGGCAAUGUCAUUCUUUCUAAUAGAGGCAUAAAAUUCCAUUGUGUAUAUGUACUGCAUUUUCCUAAUCCACACGUUUACUGAGGGGCAUCUGGGUUGGUUCCCUAUCUUAGCAAUGACAAAUGGUGCUGCAAUGAUCAUUGUUGUGAUGGU